UGGAGAGUUUGAUCCUGGCUCAGGACGAACGCUGGCGGCGUGCCUAAUACAUGCAAGUCGAGCGGAACCAUUGGAGCUUGCUCCAUUGGUUUAGCGGCGGACGGGUGAGUAACACGUGGGCAACCUGCCCUGCAGAUCGGGAUAACUCCGGGAAACCGGUGCUAAUACCGAAUAGUUUGCGGCCUCUCCUGAGGCUGCACGGAAAGACGGUUUCGGCUGUCACUGCAGGAUGGGCCCGCGGCGCAUUAGCUAGUUGGUGGGGUAAUGGCCCACCAAGGCSACGAUGCGUAGCCGACCUGAGAGGGUGAUCGGCCACACUGGGACUGAGACACGGCCCAGACUCCUACGGGAGGCAGCAGUAGGGAAUCUUCCGCAAUGGACGCAAGUCUGACGGAGCAACGCCGCGUGAGUGACGAAGGUUUUCGGAUCGUAAAACUCUGUUGUGAGGGAAGAACACGUACCARKUAACUACUGGUACCUUGACGGUACCUCACCAGAAAGCCACGGCUAACUACGUGCCAGCAGCCGCGGUA
rnacentral:rRNA from 1 species